rnacentral:rRNA from 1 species
AUGGCCGAAGGAGGAGAUGAGCUGAAGCUGCUGGGGUCAUGGUCGAGUCCGUUUGUCACGAGAGCCAAGCUUGCCCUCGCCAUCAAGGGCCUGAGCUACGAGAACGUCGACGAGGACGUCCACAACAAGAGCGACCUCCUCCUCGGCUCCAACCCCGUGCACAAGAAGAUCCCCGUGCUCAUCCACAACGGCGUCCCCGUCUGCGAGUCCAUGAUCAUCGUGCAGUACAUCGACGAGGCGUUCGCGGGCACCGGGCCGCCGAUCCUCCCCGCCGACCCCCACGAGCGCGCCGUCGCCCGUUUCUGGGCGGCCUACGUCGACGACAAGCUGGUGUCCCAGUGGACGAACUCGUCCAGGAGCAAGAGCAGGGCGGGGGCCGAGGCGAUGACGGAGAUGCUGGUUGCCGUGGAGGCCCUGGAGGGAGCCCUGAGGGAGUGCUCCAAGGGGAAGGGCUUCUUCGGCGGCGACGGCGUCGGGCUGGUGGACAUCGCGCUGGGGAGCAUGCACUCGUGGCUGAUGGCGAUCGAGGCCAUGUCCGGCGCCAAGGUGUUCGACCCCGCCAGGACCCCGCUGCUGGCGGCGUGGAUGGAGCGUUUCGGCUCGCUUGAUGCGGCCAGGGCGGUCCUGCCGGACGUCGGCAGGGUGGUGGAGCUCGCCAAGAUCAGGCACGGACAAGCUGCCGCAGCUUCAACUUCAAACAACAAGUAG